AGCGAACGUUUGCGGCGGGCUUAACACAUGCAAGUCGAACGAGAAUCCCUUCGGGGAGGAAAGUGGCGCACGGGUGCGUAACACGUGGAUAACCAACCCAUUGGUUUGGGACAACACCGGGAAACUGGUGCUAAUACCAGAUGUGUCGCAGCUGUCUUCAGGCGGUUGCGAGAAAGGCCCGCAAGGGUCGCCAACGGACGGGUCCGCGUCCCAUCAGCUAGUUGGUGAGGUAAUGGCUCACCAAGGCAAAGACGGGUAGCUGGUCUGAGAGGAUGAUCAGCCACACUGGAACUGAGACACGGUCCAGACUCCUACGGGAGGCAGCAGUGGGGAAUAUUGCGCAAUGGGCGAAAGCCUGACGCAGCCACGCCGCGUGAGCGAUGAAGGUCUUCGGAUCGUAAAGCUCUGUGGGGGGAGAAGAAGAAAGCCGGUGAAGAGCCGGCCCU
rnacentral:rRNA from 1 species